AUUAGCACCGGUUUGAACCGGUGCCAUUUGAAAAAAAAUUUCGGUUUAAGGCGCGUCUUCUUCUUCAAUUCAUUUCCUUGCUCUUUCCUCUUCGUUCUCAUCUAAUCUGCCUUUCUCUCUCCUCCAUUGUAGCGUACUCGAAUUUCUCCAUUGAAGGGGCUUCUGAGCUCUUCUAACACUCCGUCUCUCUCCUUUGAUCUCCUUCUCCAUAACCGUCACUUUCCCUUUCCUUUCUUCUCUCUUUCGAUCUCCUUCUCCUUCUCCUUCUCUCUUUCUACAAUAUUGGAGGUUAGGGUUUUUGGGUGCGUCUAUUUGAAUCAAUUCGAUGUGCGUGCGUCUUCAAUAACAACAAAUUCGAAUCAAUUUCGAACCAAAAAUCAGAAAUUCGAGGUCCUGCCCUUUUGGUUGAUGUACUAAGGGAUAGCAACAUAACUGGUUAGAGAAUCGUCUCUCAAAGCAUAAUAAGUUUCUGCAUCAUAUGCGAGUUGAACAUAAGGAUCUAGUGCCACCCAUGAUCAUUUCUGGAAAUCAGUUUACAAUGAUCAGUCAACACCAAGUAGCUGCAAGGGAAUACUUGGAAGCGCAUAAACAAAUGCCAAAUUCCCCACUGACCAAUCUCUGUGUCGGGACUGCCUUAAUCAAUUUAGCCCUUGGACAUAGACUUCAAAAACAAGCAUCAGUGUGUUGCACAAGGCUUAGCUUUCCUUUACAACAAUCUGCGACUUUGUGAAAAUAGCCAGGAAACCUUGUAUAAUAUAACUCGUGCAUUCCACCACGCAGGACUUCUCACAUUUCAGGAAGUCUUUUUGGGCUGCUAUUUUUUGUUUUGUUCUCCGUAGUUUUGGCUUUGUGUUAGGUGUUGUCCCGGUCCCUGUUUUAAGUGUAAUGCAAGAAAGGUCGAUCAGAGAUAAGUCUGGAUUAUUUAAUUUUUUUUGGGACGAAAAUUGUAAUAUUACAGGCUUUAUAGCCUUUUUUAAUGAAAAUAUGUAAGUUUAUAUACAUGUUAAUGUUUCUAUAUCAAUUUAAGUGAAAAAAAUGCAAAAAAAAAAUUUUAUUUUUUAUUUUUUUGGGGUAUUUCUGGCACCGGUUUGUACCAGAACCGGUGCCAAAAGUUUUUUAAAUUUUUUUUUGAGACUAUUGGCACCGGUUUUAGCCAAGAACCGAUGCCUAAAGUGCAGUUUUUCGCACCGGUUCUUGCCUAAUACCGGUGCCAAUAGUGUUGAUAAUAAAAAAAAAAUUCGCGCGUUUGAAGUUGGCACUGGUUAACCGAUGCCGAAGCCUUUAGUUGGCACUGGUUCAAAACCGGCGCCAAAUUUUUGAGGAUUUGGCAUCCCUCAAAUCCCCAACGGUUCAAAACCGGGGCCUUAGGGGGGGUUUGAACCGGUGCCAAAUUACCUUUUUCGUCUAGUGUUACAAGAAGAGGUCAGCCCAAAACAAGAAGAACAGGAGGGGCGAUUCAUUGGAAAAUGCGGUUGAAUCUACCGACUAUCAGGGUUCGAUGUCAGCUGUACAACAUGCUAAACGGAUGGCGGCGGAGAAUUAAGACCAGCUCCCAACAGCUCAUGAGCUUUUCCUGAAGAUGCACUUCAAGGAAGUGCCUGGGAAAGGCACAGUACCAGCCAACCCCAAAGCACAGCAUAUUGCGGAGGCCUACCAGAAGAAAGUUGAAGAAGCAAGCACCCAAAGGAUUUGGAAGAGUCCAAAUGAGCUGUAUUGGGAAACUGUAGGUGGUUGCAACAAGAAGGGUCGUGUGAAGGGACUUGGCUAAGGUGCAGAGCUGUAUUAUGGAAACAGGAAGGGUUUAGGUUCCAAGUCUUCCCAGCAGUACACACCUUCCAUAUUUUCCCAGAUGCAGGAUUAGGUGGAACAGAGGGUGCAAGCUAUGCGGAGUGAAAUGGAAGUCGAGAUGGAGGCUCGAUUGGCCGAAAUAGAAAGGAGAAACCAAGAGAGGUAUGAUGAGUUGAUGCGUCGAUUCUCCAGCAACGACCCAUGUUAUAACAUUCCACAUCAGAGUCGAGACCCCACAAACGACCUGGGUAGCGGCGGUGCAGGGCAAGGUACUUCGGCUGUAGCUUAGAAUUUAUGUAUAUAGUAUGUACAUGUAUUUAGAUUUAGAUUAUGUUGUAUAGUUGCACACAAUGUAUACAUUAUUAUAAAUA